rnacentral:rRNA from 1 species
AGACCCUUCUUAAACACUGUUAUUGCUACCAUAGAUUGCAAAAGGGAUGUUGUUACUAUCGGUUUAGAUGAUAUGACUCAUGAAUUUAAUUUCUCUAAAUUUAGUAGACAACACCAUGAAGAAGAAUUACCUAGUAAAGAUGAAAUUAUUGGUCUUGCUUCUAUUGUCGUACCUCCUAGUGAUCCUUUAGAACAAUAUUUGCUAGACCAUGAAAAUGACAUGUUUAUGAAUGAAAGAAGGGAAAUAGACAAAGUAUUCUUUAAACAGGAACCUAUUCUGAAAAACAGUUUUCCUGUUGAAAUCCUAGGGGAUUCUCCUCCACCCAAGGGUGAUCCCGUGUUUGAGCUUAAACCAUUACCUGAUACUCUUAAAUAU